GAUGAAGAACGCAGCGAAAUGCGAUAAGUAAUGUGAAUUGCAGAAUUCAGUGAAUCAUCGAAUCUUUGAACGCACAUUGUGCCCGCCAGUAUUCUGGCGGGCAUGCCUGUUCGAGCGUCAUUUCAACCAUCAAGCCCCCGGCUUGUGUUGGGGACCUGCGGCUGCCGCAGGCCCUGAAAACCAGUGGCGGGCUCGCUAGUCACUCCGAGCGUAGUAAUACAUCUCGCUCAGGGCGUGCUGCGGGUUCCGGCCGUUAAAAAGCCUUAUUUACCCAAGGUUGACCUCGGAUCAGGUAGGAAGACCCGCUGAACUUAAGCAUAUCAAUAAGCGGAGGA
rnacentral:misc_RNA from 1 species